GACUCUCGGCAACGGAUAUCUCGGCUCUCGCAUCGAUGAAGAACGUAGCAAAAUGCGAUACUUGGUGUGAAUUGCAGAAUCCCGUGAACCAUCGAGUCUUUGAACGCAAGUUGCGCCCGAAGCCAUCAGGCCAAGGGCACGCCUGCUUGGGCGUCGUGCAUCA
rnacentral:rRNA from 1 species